rnacentral:rRNA from 1 species
UACCAGCACCCCGAGUGGUCGGGACGUUUAUUGGGCCUAAAGCAUCCGUAGCCGGUUCUACAAGUCUUCCGUUAAAUCCACCUGCUUAACAGACGGGCUGCGGAGGAUACUAUAAGACUAGGAGGCAGGAGAGGCAAGCGGUACUCAGUGGGUAGGGGUAAAAUCCGUUGAUCCAUUGAAGACCACCAGUGGCGAAGGCGGCUUGCCAGAAUGCGCUCGACGGUGAGGGAUGAAAGCUGGGGGAGCAAACCGG